GCGCUUUUGGAGAAGCCUACGUCGGAUUAGCUAGUUGGUGGGGUAAUGGCUCACCAAGGCGACGAUCCGUAACUGGUCUGAGAGGACGAUCAGUCACACCGGAACUGAGACACGGUCCGG
rnacentral:rRNA from 1 species